rnacentral:rRNA from 1 species
GUGCAUCGGCGCUACCAUGCAGUCGAACGAUGAACCACUUCGGUGGGGAUUAGUGGCGAACGGGUGAGUAACACGUGGGCAAUCUGCCCUGCACUCUGGGACAAGCCCUGGAAACGGGGUCUAAUACCGGAUACUGAUCCUCGCAGGCGUCUGCGAGGUUCGAAAGCUCCGGCGGUGCAGGAUGAGCCCGCGGCCUAUCAGCUAGUUGGUGAGGUAACGGCUCACCAAGGCGACGACGGGUAGCCGGCCUGAGAGGGCGACCGGCCACACUGGGACUGAGACACGGCCCAGACUCCUACGGGAGGCAGCAGUGGGGAAUAUUGCACAAUGGGCGAAAGCCUGAUGCAGCGACGCCGCGUGAGGGAUGACGGCCUUCGGGUUGUAAACCUCUUUCAGCAGGGAAGAAGCGAAAGUGACGGUACCUGCAGAAGAAGCGCCGGCUAACUACGUGCCAGCAGCCGCGGUAAUACGUAGGGCGCAAGCGUUGUCCGGAAUUAUUGGGCGUAAAGAGCUCGUAGGCGGCUUGUCACGUCGGUUGUGAAAGCCCGGGGCUUAACCCCGGGUCUGCAGUCGAUACGGGCAGGCUAGAGUUCGGUAGGGGAGAUCGGAAUUCCUGGUGUAGCGGUGAAAUGCGCAGAUAUCAGGAGGAACACCGGUGGCGAAAGCGGAUCUCUGGGCCGAUACUGACGCUGAGGAGCGAAAGCGUGGGGAGCGAACAGGAUUAGAUACCCUGGUAGUCCACGCCGUAAACGGUGGGCACUAGGUGUGGGCAACAUUCCACGUCUGUCCGUGCCGCAGCUAACGCAUUAAGUGCCCCGCCUGGGGAGUACGGCCGCAAGGCUAAAACUCAAAGGAA